AGAGUUUGAUCCUGGCUCAGAUUGAACGCUGGCGGCAUGCUUUACACAUGCAAGUCGAACGGUAACAGGGAGCUUGCUCCGCUGACGAGUGGCGAACGGGUGAGUAAUGCAUCGGAACGUGCCUAUUUGUGGGGGAUAACGUAGCGAAAGUUACGCUAAUACCGCAUACGCCCUGAGGGGGAAAGCGGGGGAUUCGUAAGAACCUCGCGCAAUUAGAGCGGCCGAUGUCGGAUUAGCUAGUUGGUGGGGUAAAGGCUCACCAAGGCCGACGAUCCGUAGCGGGUCUGAGAGGAUGAUCCGCCACACUGGGACUGAGACACGGCCCAGACUCCUACGGGAGGCAGCAGUGGGGAAUUUUGGACAAUGGGCGAAAGCCUGAUCCAGCCAUGCCGCGUGAGUGA
rnacentral:rRNA from 1 species